rnacentral:rRNA from 1 species
UACGAAGGGGGCUAGCGUUGCUCGGAUUUACUGGGCGUAAAGCGCACGUAGGCGGGUCGUUAAGUCGGGGGUGAAAUCCCGGAGCUCAACUCCGGAACUGCCCUCGAUACUGGCGACCUCGAGUCCGGGAGAGGUGAGUGGAACUCCGAGUGUAGAGGUGAAAUUCGUAGAUAUUCGGAAGAACACCAGUGGCGAAGGCGGCUCACUGGCCCGGUACUGACGCUGAGGUGCGAAAGCGUGGGGAGCAAACAGG